CACCAGGCCGUAUGGAGCCAGAAGAGGCAGCCACCUUCCCAAGGUGACUCAAGUACCUUAGACGCUGGCUUCGGAGUUUGUGGCACGUGUGGAGGUGGAGGAAUAACAGCCCAUUCAGAGCUACGCUGUGAGCGGCUGCUUUCGUAUCGCUCAGCAAUAGAAUCCAGGACACAGGCGUCACAGGUGCCCCCUGCAACGCAAAACGGCCCUGGAAGUCCUCCUCAGAGCGCUCGCUGCCAGCGGGUGGAGGCCUUCUGCACUUCUCGGCACCUGUGGCUUGUGAAAACCAAGCAUCUUCUCUUGUGGACACUAGUC